CAGAGAGGAAGGCCAUGAGGUGAGGGCUCUGGCCAUGGUGACCAAGAGGGGUCUAGGAGUGCAAGAUGGACUUGGAUUUCUGGAAAAAGGAUGAAUCUUCAGAGACUGUCUCAGAUUAGACUCAAGAGCCCUUAGAGCUAGUGUGACUUUUUAUGGGGGUGGGGGUUGGGGGCGGUUACUGCCUUCUCUCCAGGAUGAAGAUGGGAAGAAGUUAUCUGAUGAGGACAUAAGAGCAGAAGCUGACACCUUUAUGUUUGAGGGUGAGGGCCCCAGUGUGGGGCUAGAGAGGGGACCGGGAUCUCUCCCUUCCAGGAACAGGGUGGGUGGACCCCCACAACCUUCCCAUCCCCCUUCCCCCAUCCUCCCUGAGGCCCUCAACGCAUGGGUGCUGUCUACCUUCGGGUGCUGAAGCAGCCCAGAGACCCAAGCCUGCCUUGCUGCCCCCCAGGCCAUGACACCACGGCCAGUGGUCUCUCCUGGGUCCUGUACCACCUUGCAAAGCACCCGGAAUACCAGGAGCGCUGCCGGCAGGAGGUGCAAGAACUUCUGAAGGACCGUGAGCCUAAAGAGAUUGAAUGGGACGACCUGGCCCAUUUGCCCUUCCUGACCAUGUGCAUGAAGGAGAGCCUGCGGCUGCAUCCCCCAGUCCCGGUCAUCUCCCGCCAUGUCACCCAGGACAUUGUGCUCCCAGACGGCCGGGUCAUCCCCAAAGGCAUUAUCUGCCUCAUCAGUGUUUUCGGAACC
rnacentral:sRNA from 1 species